UAGGGAAUAUUGGUCAAUGGGUGCGAGCCUGAACCAGCCAUGCCGCGUGCAGGAAGAAGGCCUUCUGGGUUGUAAACUGCUUUUGCCGGGGGAUAAAAUGUCUGUGCGCAGAUAAUUGAAGGUACCUGGUGAAUAAGCCACGGCUAACUACGUGCCAGCAGCCGCGGUAAUACGUAGGUGGCAAGCGUUGUCCGGAUUUAUUGGGUUUAAAGGGUGCGUAGGCGGUUGAUUAAGUCAGUUGUGAAAUACGGUAGCUUAACUAUCGAGGUGCAAUUGAUACUGGUUGACUUGAGUACAGACGAGGUAGGCGGAAUUGACGGUGUAGCGGUGAAAUGCAUAGAUAUCGUCAAGAACACCGAUAGCGAAGGCAGCUUACUAGACUGUAACUGACGCUGAGGCACGAAAGUGUGGGGAUCAAACAGGAUUAGAUACCCCGGUAGUCC
rnacentral:rRNA from 1 species